rnacentral:rRNA from 1 species
UACGAAGGGUGCAAGCGUUAUUCGGAAUAAUUGGGCGUAAAGGGUGCGCAGGCCGUUUGUUAAGUCAACUGUUAAAUUCUUCAGCCUAACUGGGGGUCUGCGGUAGAUACUGGCAAACUAGAGCAUGGAAGAGAGAAGUGGAAUUCUCGGAGUAGCGGUAAAAUGCGUAGAUCUCGAGAGGAACACCAAUGGCGAAGGCAGCUUCUUGGUCCAUUGCUGACGCUCAAGCACGAAAGCGUGGGGAGCAAACAGG